AUUGAACGCUGGCGGCAGGCCUAACACAUGCAAGUCGAGCGGAUGAAGGGAGCUUGCUCCUGGAUUCAGCGGCGGACGGGUGAGUAAUGCCUAGGAAUCUGCCUGGUAGUGGGGGAUAACGUCCGGAAACGGGCGCUAAUACCGCAUACGUCCUGAGGGAGAAAGUGGGGGAUCUUCGGACCUCACGCUAUCAGAUGAGCCUAGGUCGGAUUAGCUAGUUGGUGGGGUAAAGGCCUACCAAGGCGACGAUCCGUACUGGUCUGAGAGGAUGAUCAGUCACACUGGAACUGAGACACGGUCCAGGCUCCUACGGGAGGCAGCAGUGGGGAAUAUUGGACAAUGGGCGAAAGCCUGAUCCAGCCAUGCCGCGUGUGUGAAGAAGGUCUUCGGAUUGUAAAGCACUUUAAGUUGGGAGGAAGGGCAGUAAGUUAAUACCUUGCUGUUUUGACGUUACCAACAGAAUAAGCACCGGCUAACUUCGUG
rnacentral:rRNA from 1 species